AACUCAACAAAAAGAGGACAAAUAUGGCCAAGUUACAUAAGUUUACAGCGCUAAAUAAUGAAGACCUUGAAAAUGGUGAAAGUAAUCUUUUUGAAAACCCGUCAUAUAUGUGUGAUCUUGACGACAGAGAAGAACCAAAACAUGCAGUUCAAUUCUCGCCUCCUAAAAAACGCUGCACAAGAGGCAACUUUGCAGUUGUAAUAUUUAUCUUGGCUGCCGGAGGAUUAGCGGUGUUUCUGAUUGUCAAAU